GGCCCGGUCGCGGAUGGUCUGCGCCCGUGAUUCGUGUAGGUUGCGCAAUCAAUGUAACGGGAGUCGCUCGUUCGAUUCGAGCCCGGGCCA